rnacentral:rRNA from 1 species
AUACCCUGGUAGUCCACUCUGUAAACUAUGAUCACUCGAUGUUGGCAAUACAUCGUCAUCGUCUGAGCGUAAGCAUUAAGUGAUACACCUGGGGAUUACGAUCUCAAGAUUGACAUUCAAAGGAAUUGACGGGGGCCCGCACAACCGGAGGAACAUGUGGCUUAAUUCCGAUGAUACGCGAGGAACAUUACCAUGGAGCUUUUAUGCAGUUCGUCGUUCCGGGAAACCGGAAUUCCAUCGGGCGACAUGCAAGUUCACUGCAUGCCUGCUCGUCAUGCUCGCCCCGUGAGGGUCUGGGUUAAGUCGCCAUCACGAGUGCAACCCUUAGUCGUUAGUUGCUAACAGGGUAAUGCCAGGGGACUAUACUGAAACUGCCGGCCUCAACCUUGAGGAAGGUGGGGAUGACGUUAAGUCUAGCACGGCCUUAGGUCCAGGACUACAUACGUGUUACAACGGUCGGACAAAGGCACGCUACCAGUCGAGUGGAGUCUGAUGCUCAUACCAGAUGUCAGUGCGGAUUGCAAGUGUGCAACUCGACGUUCAUGUGAUGGAGUCGCUAGUGAUCGCGCACUCAGCCAUGGCCCGUGUAUACGUCGUGAGCUUGUCACACCACCCGUCAAGCCAUG